rnacentral:rRNA from 1 species
GGACGGGACCCGCACAAGCGGUGGAUGAUGUGGUUUAAUUCGAUGACAACGACGAAAAACCUUACCCACCUUUGACAUGUACGGAAUCCUUUAGAGAUAGAGGAGUGCUCGAAAGAGAACCGUAACACAGGUGCUGCAUGGCUGUCGUCAGCUCGUGUCGUGAGAUGUUGGGUUAAGUCCCGCAACGAGCGCAACCCUUGUCAUUAGUUGCUACAUUUAGUUGGGCACUCUAAUGAGACUGCCGGUGACAAACCGGAGGAAGGUGGGGAUGACGUCAAGUCCUCAUGGCCCUUAUAGGUGGGGCUACACACGUCAUACAAUGGAUGGUACAAAGGGUCGCCAACCCGCGAGGGGGAGCCAAUCCCAUAAAGCCAUUCGUAGUCCGGAUCGUAGUCUGCAACUCGACUACGUGAAGUCGGAAUCGCUAGUAAUCGUGGAUCAGAAUGUCACGGUGAAUACGUUCCCGGGUCUU